AUUCCAGCUCAGUAGCGUAUAUUAAAGUUGUUGCAGUUAAAAAGCUCGUAGUUGGAUUUCUGACUUCAAACACCUGACCCUCCCUCGCUAGAGGUGUGUGUGCCGGAGUGUUUGUAUCAUCCUUUCAGUGAUCGGUUCUACCCUUAACCGGGUCGGAACUGUUAACUGGAUCUUUUACUUUGAAGAAAUUGGAGUGUUUAAAGCAGGCUUACGCCAGAACAUAUUAGCAUGGAAUAAUAAUUUAGGACUUUUGUUCUAUUUUGUUGGUUUCUAGGACGAAAGUAAUGAUUGAUAGGGAUAGUUGGGGGUGCUAGUAUUCGGCGGCCAGAGGUGAAAUUCUUUGAUCCGCUGAAGACUAACUUAUGCGAAAGCAUUCACCAAGGAUGUCUUCAUUA
rnacentral:rRNA from 1 species